GCUGCUGCUAGCAUGCUUUGUUAGCCUGGCAGGGAUAGCCGGCCGACUCCAGGGCUGGGCUGAUGCCCGAAACCAGACGAGGGGAAUCGGGCUUGUGCAGCAGGACGUGUGGAGGGGUUCACACAUGAAAACGUCACCCAAACACACAAUCACAGUGACAUGGAGGUGGGGGAGUGGGGGAAUAAUGGAGUAGCUGCGGAGUGUCAUGUCAUGAUAGGAAUACUGUAGCAGCAGCAGCAGGGGCGGCUGUGACCCACUCCUCCUGAACGAUCCGGUGCCACUGCGCACCGAAACGCUUGGCGACACUAUCCCGGUGGCAGCACUCGGUGAUUUGCUACGAAGCAGCAGGAGAAGGUUUAAGCUAACUUAGCAGCGAUUUACGCCAUAGUCACGGAGCUAACAUGACAGGAGACUGAGACAACAGGGCACAACAUAGCGGAUGGGUGCAAAGCAAAAACGGAUAGACGUCGAGGAGGCCAGAAUGCAGAGGCUUCUGUGCAGAUCUCUGCUAACGUGGACCCACCUGGACUUCUCAUUGCAUAAAUUUGCACCACUGGGGAUCAGUGGUUGCCCUUGUGAGACGGGCUUCACAACCUGAAAACACCCACAAACCUGUAUCCCCCACCACCUCCACCUAAAGCAACACACUCCUGGCGCCUGGUGGCCUGCUCCAAGGGCUGAGAGACUUGAUCCUGGAGUGUGCUCAGACACCAGUGCAGGUCAACACUGGUAAUACUUAUCCCUGGCCAGACACUUUGAACUUUAACCGCAAUGCAGAGCAGCAGCUUUGCCCUGGUCACAUUCUGUGCACCUCCCAGGUUUACUUGUUUUCUUUAUGUAAUAUCUAUCAAGGUGAGAUCAUUUCAUUUGUUCUUAUAUGCAUGUGCAAACGGAUUCAUUUGUGCGUGGUUUUCAUUUUUGUGUUAAGAAUUUUCUUUGCAAUUAAAGUUUUAUCUUAUCCUAUUACCUGCGCACCUUGAUAAAUAGGCAGAAGUGGUGAAAUUGAAUGUUAAAGUUAGGUUAAAUGGAAAUUAAACCUGGAAAUCAAUAUUUAUUAUUAUUAUUGACUAAAGUGAAACAUCUAAUGGUAAUACACUUUUACAUCUUUAUCACCCAGCCAUACUCAAGCCUGAGUCAAAUAAAGGAAGGGAGGACCAGGAGCAGAGAGGAGGGAGUCCUGAUCUGCCACAUCUUAUCUGGAACAUGUAAUGCUACUGCUUUACAUACACCAUGGCUGGAAAGGAAAGUUUUCAUUUGCCAUUUGAGAAGGGCAAUUUUGCGCCCAAUAUAAGAGAGCAGUCUGCUUCGUGGCUACCCCCUCUUCCUCUGUUCUGCCUCCCAGUGCACACCACUAAUCAGAAAUACGUCUAGCUGCUGGUUCUGAUAGAGAAAAAAGCACAGUAGGUUCCGGCUAAUUAGUGGGGUUUUUAGCUAGCUGCUGUAGGUCUCGUGAAUGAAGCUAACUCAGCUACGUGUUGGAAAUGAGACACACUGUGAUUUAAAAGCUAGCAAACAACGACAGAGCAGAAGAAAGAGUGUUUUAUCAAGCUAAAGGUUACUUACAAUGGCGGUAGUACGUCUUGUUCAGCUACCCGCCAAGUUACAGUAGGCUAAUUUUAUUCCUGCCUACACUUUGUCAGAACAGUGACAGCCGACAUAUGCCCUGACCCGGGUACCAUCACCGCUCCAACAGCGGCGAACACGUCGAUACGCUCCGGUUUCUGCAUUUUCUAAUCAUGCUGCAGAUUUAAAAUGCAAUUACACAGUGAACAUGUCUAACAAAUCAAAUCUUACUCACCAGUGAACUCCGAUCCGCAGGUUAGAAGGUGUUAAAAAAUAUGUUUUCCGGCUGAGUCACCCCACCCUCAAACGCCCAUUCUCGCAAGACGAUGAAGAGGGAGCCGGCACCUCAUUGGACAAUGUCUCAUCGUUGUAGCAGCUCAUUGGUUCAUUGCUGACAUCUGUUGGCAAACUGACCAAUCACGUAUUGGUGCGUUGAUCAUUCACAACAUCUGACAGCUUUCCGUCUUGUCGCCCCGUGUCACUUCACUUUUCCUGCCCUGUAUUGCAAAAAGCCCUUUUUCCACAAUUCUCUCAGUUACAAUAAACACAAGAGUCAAGUCAAAUCACUUAUUAUGAUUUACAGGGCACAUUUAACACAAGAGACGCUUAGCCAAAGGGUUUUCCAAUGGAGAAAUAAGAUUAACAUUAAAAAUUUAGCUAUCUAUCCCUACAAUAUUUUUAAUUUAGUUGGAUUUUUUUAAUGACGUUGAGACAAUACACUAAUAUCAUGCAUAUUUUAGUGACUAACGUACAUAUGCAUAUUAAGACCCUACAAUAUAAAUUAUUAAUUAACGUCAAGACAACGAUGUUGUCGUAUUUAAUAAAUAAAACACACACACAAUAUAAUAAUAAAAUGGCAAGACAUUUCUGUACCUAAGUAUAUAAUAACAUUUUUGAAAUUCCUUAAAAUGUGAUUUUAUGCUUUUUUUUAGUAUAAUAGAGAAAUCUGUAUUGCGUUGUUGAAGUUGACAUUUUGCUUUGAGUUCAUUAGUGGAACUAAUGAAACAUUUUAUUAAUCAACAACUAAUCAGCAGCCAUUCAAUUAAUUGUUAAUGAAUGAUUACAGUGGUUUAAUCAAGCACAAUUUGCACGUAUCCUUGGUUCUAUCUUUUUGUGUCAAGAUUUAUCGCUUGUCUGUGUCUGUAUUAUUUUAAAAUAUCAAAAAUCUCCAGGAUUUCAAUUGAUGCUCAGUUAAGCAUUUUUAAAAGGUCACCUUGGAUUCCUUUGAAUAUCUGCUGGACAUUUUUCCACAUUACUUAUCUAUUCUAUGACAUUUCAUAUGUGACAUGAUAAAUUAACAAAAUAAUUAUCAUAUUAAUUAACAAUAAAAUAAUCAUUACACUGUU